UACAGAGGUGGCAAGCGUUGUUCGGAAUUACUGGGCGUAAAGGGCGCGUAGGCGGUUCGUUAAGUCCUGUGUGAAAUCCCCCGGCUCAACUGGGGAACUGCACAGGAAACUAGCGGGCUUGAGUUCGGGAGAGGGAAGCGGAAUUCCCGGUGUAGCAGUGAAAUGCGUAGAGAUCGGGAGGAACAUCAGUUGCGAAGGCGGCUCUCUGGACCAGCACUGACACUGAGGCACGAAAGCGUGGGGAGCAAACAGG
rnacentral:rRNA from 1 species